CAGAACACCUGUUUCCAAGAACGGGGUUUCCCUUGAGUGGACUCUUUUCCUUGAUAUGCCUUUUCUAAUAGCCACAUAACACCAUCUCGAAAGGUUACAACUUUCUUCAUAUCAGCUAUGUUUCUCAUUGUGUUUUCCUGAGGUAUCCUUGAUACUCUGCGGGAAGGAGAUAAUGGAGAUGCUGCAGCUGUAUGUCACCUUCUCUAAGUACCCAGGAGCAGCAAGAAACACUGAAUUUUGGAGUCUUAUCUGGAAAAGACUUGGAAUUGUAAUCCCCCACUUACUGACUGUAAGAGCCUUGGAUCUGUUCCUGAAAACAUGGUGUUCAAGUUGAACAUAUGAAAACAGAACUUCUUUCUUCUUCAAUGGAAGUGACACCUAACAAUUUGGAUUUAGAUUUCUCUGCCUCUUACAUCUACUGCUUGAUAAUGUAGAAACCAACAUUCAAAUCCAGGGAAGCAAAUCCUUUUUUAAAAGAUUUGAUUAAAUUAUCUGAGGAUAAA